GUGGGGAAUCUUCCGCAAUGGACGAAAGUCUGACGGAGCAACGCCGCGUGAGUGAAGAAGGUUUUCGGAUCGUAAAGCUCUUUCGUUAGGGACGAACGUGCUCUUUGUGAAUAAUGAGGAGUAAUGACGGUACCUAAAUAAGAAGCCACGGCUAACUACGUGCCAGCAGCCGCGGUAAUACGUAGGUGGCAAGCGUUGUCCGGAAUUAUUGGGCGUAAAGCGCGAGCAGGCGGGAUAUCAAGUCUGUCUUAAAAGUGCGAGGCUCAACCUCGUGAGGGGACAGAAACUGGUAUUCUUGAGUGUCGAAGAGGAAAGUGGAAUUCCAAGUGUAGCGGUGAAAUGCGUAGAGAUUUGGAAGAACACCAGUGGCGAAGGCGACUUUCUGGACGAUGUCUGACGCUGAGGCGCGAAAGCUAGGGGAGCGAACGGGAUUAGAUACCCUGGUAGUCC
rnacentral:rRNA from 1 species